rnacentral:rRNA from 23 species
AUAACGACUCUCGGCAACGGAUAUCUCGGCUCUCGCAUCGAUGAAGAACGUAGCGAAAUGCGAUACUUGGUGUGAAUUGCAGAAUCCCGUGAACCAUCGAGUCUUUGAACGCAAGUUGCGCCCUAAGCCUUUUGGCCGAGGGCACGUCUGCCUGGG